rnacentral:rRNA from 1 species
GACAGAGGGUGCAAACGUUGUUCGGAAUUACUGGGCGUAAAGCGCGUGUAGGCUGCUCUGCAAGUCGGAUGUGAAAGCCCUGGGCUCAACCUAGGAAGUGCAUUCGAAACUGCAGAGCUGGAGUCCCGGAGAGGAAGGCGGAAUUCUCGGUGUAGAGGUGAAAUUCGUAGAUAUCGAGAGGAACACCGGUGGCGAAGGCGGCCUUCUGGACAGUGACUGACGCUGAGACGCGAAAGCGUGGGGAGCAAACAGG